UUUGAGAAAGAGAUAGCUCAGUCGAUAAGAGCGUGAGACUCUUAAUUUCAGGGUCGCGGGUGUGAGCCCCAUGUCGGGCAAAA